GGCUCCAUAGUAUAGUGGUUAGCACGUCGGCUUUACACGCAGAAGGUCCUGGGUUGGCACCCCAUGUGAAGCCA
rfam:Pteropus alecto contig64183, whole genome shotgun sequence.